CGGUCUUAACUUUGAUGAGAUGAACUUUAGAACCCUGGGAACAGUUUUUUAUGCCAUGUCGUUUGGAACGUAUUCUACCUUUUCGUUCUAUUGGUAAGAUUUCAAACUAGCUCCUAAAUUUUAGCAUAAUGAGGUCCGAAUUCUUUGUUAAAUUGCUAUGUAUUGUUUGGAUUUAGGAAAAAAGAUUGCCUUGUUGAAUGAUCAUUUCUUUCGCACCUUUAAGGCGCUCCUGUCUUCUGAAAAACUGGCAACAUGGAGUGAAAAAUUGGCUAGAUGACUUCUGCCCGGCAAUCCUAGCUCUAUUUCCCUAAAGUGAUAGACUACACUACAAAACUACAAUCACUCCUAGAAUUGCUUCACAAGGCAGCUAGUUUAGUUGGUAAUAUAGCCAUGCUAGGAAGUUUUCCCCAACUAAGCAACCUGAUUUUGUGGGAAAAAUGAAGGUUGGGAAUUGUUGGUGCUGUUUUAUUUUUCUUUGGAGUGGACCAUAUCGGUGUUCUGCGUGCUCACAGCAGUAUGCUUGUUUGACAUGCCCACAAGUUGGUUACUGAAUUUAGAUCUGCAUUAUUUUUUCAUAAUCACCAGUAGCCAUUGGUAUGAUCUGGGUUUGGUCGCUUUAAAUUUAGAUAGGCAUUUCAUUCAACCCUCUUAAAGGGCAUUGACUCUAAAUUUCUUUCUUAAUUCAUUCUUUAUGUUUGACUGUCUGCAGUUGUUCUAACUGAUCUAGCUACUCAUCUGUCUUCUGAUUUAAAUUUGAACCACUGUCAGACGCAAAAGCUAAAGGGUAUUCACCUAAUAAGGUUAUUGUUUUCUUUCAGGACGUCGGCUUGUGGCUUGAAGAGAUAAAUCUUGGUGGCUACAGACAAGUUUUUGAAGAAAAUAGUGUCAAUGGAGAGUAUCUGGAGAGCUUGUCGAUGUUUACUACCGAGCAGAUUCUGCGGUUUAUCAGGCGGUGCCAUAUGAAAUGGGGAGACUUUAUCACAUUGUGCAAAGAGUUGAGGCGCAUUAAAGGUUGGUAUAUUCCCGUUUCUUCCUUGAGAGCAUCUAUAAAUCAUCUCUGCUACCGUGAUAACCAUUUCAGUACUUGUUUCUUUCAUAUUUUGCUCAUUAGUUUUCAUUUGACUGUAUGAUGCACCAUGCAGUCAAUCGGAGUGCAACCCUAUUUCUCUCACCACUGCUCUUUUCUUUUUGAGCUCAAGCUCAAUUAGUUGGUGUUGCCUCUUCAUGCUACAUAAAAGCUUAUAAGUGUGAGCUGAGUCUUGUGGAAAACAGUUGUGCCAGCACGGUUCAGCUGCCAAUUUGCUUUCUGUUCUGUUAGCUUUCAUCAGUAAAUACAUUUUUUGGCCGCAAGUUUAUGAUGCUAAUAUAUGCUCCCUCCGUUCCAAAAUAGAUGACCCAACUUUGUACUAACUUUAUACUAACGCUAGUACAAAGUUGAAUCAUCUAUUUUGGAACGGAGGGAGUAGGUUGGUUCUUUUCAGCAUCUUGGUUUGGUGUAAAUGAGCAACAUAAAUGAAUUUGACAUGAUUCAAAUACAUAGAUCUGUUGUAUUUUAUUGAUAGAUGAACAUCAUACUCCAUUGGUUGUGUGUCCACACUUGGAAGAUUGCUCUGUCUGACUCCUGCUAAUUUGAUCCACAGUUGCCUGCCUGAAAGGGGAGCAAGAAGUCCGGAGGCCAUGGUGGGCACCAUCAUGCCUAUCAGUGGUGUUUGUGAGGGCGGCAAAGCGGAACCGACAGUCCCGAGUUGUCUCUCUUAAGCUGGAACCUUGAUGCUCGCUGGCCGCGCCGGAACACCGCGCCGAGCUAUCCCCCAGAUUCUCUGCCUUACGGGCACUGCAACCGCGCUAUCCCCACAAUGUAGGAGCAGCAGUAUGCUCCGUGUCCAACCCGUUUCUCUACCCCUGUUUUGUAUUCCUUUUUCAUCUUAUAAUAUAGGUUUGUGGAAUAGUAAGUAACCUGAUGUUACCUGAAGUGGAUAAGUAUAUGUGCAGAUGGUUCCUGUAUAAGAUCUGCUUCUUGCAUAUCAGCUUGAGUUGUUCUUGGCUCAAGAAUGGCCUAGAGCAGUAGAUCUUCAUGGCACUGAAAUCGACGAUGUUCUUAUUUUAUUAAUGCUGGCCAGAACAUCAAUGUGAUAUGGUUGUGGCAUGAAACUUUUUGUUGUAUGUGUGUGGUUAUGUUAGUAUAAAUUUG
rnacentral:lncRNA from 1 species